rnacentral:misc_RNA from 1 species
GAACUGCGAUAAGUAAUGUGAAUUGCAGAAUUCAGUGAAUCAUCGAGUCUUUGAACGCACAUUGCGCCCCCUGGCAUUCCGGGGGGCAUGCCUAUCCGAGCGUCAUUGCUGCCCUUCAAGCCCGGCUUGUGUGUUGGGUCGUCGUCCCCCCCGGGGGACGGGCCCGAAAGGCAGCGGCGGCACCGUGUCCGGUCCUCGAGCGUAUGGGGCUUUGUCACCCGCUCGAUUAGGGCCGGCCGGGCGCCAGCCGGCGUCUCCAACCUUAUUUUUCUCAGGUUGACCUCGGAUCAGGUAGGGAUACCCGCUGAACUUAAGC